CCUGUGGAUGGUGGAUGCAGCUCUCCCAGUCAUCGUUCGUGAAUAGUUCACAUUCUUAGCUCUGUGAUUCUGUGUGUACCCAGGAACAUGGAUCGGGGCCACCAGUUGUUCGUUAUUCCUCCACUGCAGACGACCGAGUACCGCGAACACUUUGAACAGUCACCACUGUAGCACGAAAGUGUUGAUUGCAGAACCUUUGACGCAGUACAUGUACUCGUAAUGGGACGUAGCAGGUGGACUGGCUAUGACGCACCUUCGCAAUCUGGAGUGGAUAUGGUGGCUGAAGUGGAACUCGACUUCGUGACCAAGGCAAACUCGUCUAUAUUCAUCCGGACUACUGGUCGCAACUUCUCAGUGUGAGAUUCUGGACUUGCAUGUUCAUGCAGCAGAGUUGCACCCUUAUUCCAAGGUGCAUGUCCCUUCUUGAACUGUGUCUUUCGUCUUGUAUUGCCUUCCAUGGAUGUGACUCGUAGUGUAUAAAACAGUGAAAUACUUAUUGUGGUAUGCAUGUCCACCCUUA